rnacentral:rRNA from 1 species
UGCAGUCGAGCGGUAGCACAGAGAGCUUGCUUCUCGGGUGACGAGCGGCGGACGGGUGAGUAAUGUCUGGGAAACUGCCUGAUGGAGGGGGAUAACUACUGGAAACGGUAGCUAAUACCGCAUAACGUCGCAAGACCAAAGAGGGGGACCUUCGGGCCUCUUGCCAUCAGAUGUGCCCAGAUGGGAUUAGCUAGUAGGUGGGGUAAUGGCUCACCUAGGCGACGAUCCCUAGCUGGUCUGAGAGGAUGACCAGCCACACUGGAACUGAGACACGGUCCAGACUCCUACGGGAGGCAGCAGUGGGGAAUAUUGCACAAUGGGCGCAAGCCUGAUGCAGCCAUGCCGCGUGUAUGAAGAAGGCCUUCGGGUUGUAAAGUACUUUCAGCGAGGAGGAAGGCAUUGUGGUUAAUAACCACAGUGAUUGACGUUACUCGCAGAAGAAGCACCGGCUAACUCCGUGCCAGCAGCCGCGGUAAUACGGAGGGUGCGAGCGUUAAUCGGAAUUACUGGGCGUAAAGCGCACGCAGGCGGUCUGUCAAGUCGGAUGUGAAUCCCCGGGCUCAACCUGGGAACUGCAUUCGAAACUGGCAGGCUAGAGUCUUGUAGAGGGGGGGUAGAAUUCCAGGUGUAGCGGUGAAAUGCGUAGAGAUCUGGAGGAAUACCGGGUGGCGAAAGGCGGCCCCCUGGACAAAGACUGACGCUC